AUGAAAUAUAACAUUAACUCUUGUAUAAGCUCAUUAAUCGGUUUGAGCGUCUCGACCAGGCAACCGUAAUUGCCCCAGGCUACAAGAGGCCGCAUGAGUCGA
rnacentral:ncRNA from 2 species